GAGCAACUUAGGAUUUUAGGCUCGCCGCGCUCCCUGCGCGGACCCACCCUUCCGGACCUGGCAGUACCGGCAGGGUAAAAUCUCACUGCCGGAG
rnacentral:ncRNA from 1 species